UACGGAGGGUGCGAGCGUUAAUCGGAAUUACUGGGCGUAAAGGGCGCGUAGGCGGUUAUGUAAGUGAGAUGUGAAAUCCCUGGGCUUAACCUAGGACCUGCAUCUCAUACUGUAUAGCUAGAGUAUUGUAGAGGGUAGUGGAAUUUCCGGUGUAGCGGUGAAAUGCGUAGAGAUCGGAAGGAACACCAGUGGCGAAGGCGGCUACCUGACAGAUACUGACGCUGAGCCGCGAGAGCGUGGGGAGCAAACAGG
rnacentral:rRNA from 1 species